GCUCAAACGAUGGAAGAUAUUUCACGUGAAGCGAAUACAUCCGGCGCAAAGCAUUGUUAAGGGUGACAGAGGGAGAGUAAAAUCGCCUCGAGAUCUACAGCGGGAGUGAGCUCCGAGAUCCAAGGAGAGAGGGAGAGAGAGAACACAGGUUUGUUCUUCUUGGAAGGGCGCCAUUCAGGUGAUUAGAGAAUGAAUUUUGGCAUUGUCUGCAUGAAACAUGUACGGCGAUUAGUUUCGUCAGGGUUCUUAAAGGGAACAAGCCAAGUGAGUCUUUGUCGCUUUCCUUCCUUUUGUUUGAACUCUAAGAAAAAGUUUUUUUCCCUUUUUCUCUCAUCCAGUUCUCUGUUCUUUAGUUUUCCUAACAAUCUCAUUGGUUUGAUAUUGUUGAACCCUGACCUUGUCGUCAUCUUCUUGUUUUGGAUGAUUCAUCAUGAAGUAUUGGUGAGAAAAAGUUUUUUUCCCUUUUUUUCUCAUCCAAUUCUCUGUUCUUUAGUUUUCCUAACAAUCUCAUUGGUUUGAUGUUGUGGAGCCCUGACCUUGUCGUCAUCUUCUUGUUUUGGAUGAUUCAUCAUGAAGUAUUGUAUUGGUGAUUAAUUAGGCAAAGCUUAACCAGAAGGCAGCGUCUACAAUGAAGGAUCUGCCACCAGACUAUGCUGACAAUGACUUCUGAGCUUGUGCACAUGGCAGAAGAAAUCAAAUCCCUUCUCUGUUGGUUGUCUCCCCUUCAUUACGUUGUUAGGCUAGGUUUCCAUUUUUCUUACGCUUGUGAGAGUAAGUUCUUCUUCUUUUAAAGCUUAAUUUUGAAGGGAAAGAAGGAAGGCUGAUUUUUCCCUAUCCUUAUUUUGUUAAUCAUACGUAUGCUUUCCCGGAACAUCCAAGGCUUAGUGCACACGGAGGUGCAGCUUGAUCUUGUCUCUCUUUUUAGAUUUUACGGCCUUUAAAUGCUGGUGUUGCAUGAUUGGAGCAAUGGGCACUCAAAUUUUGCUUUUGUCUCUAAUGUUUUAGCUCUGGUAGUGCUUCCGCGGGCGAUGAUCAGCAUAACAAGGUGCGAACCUUUCGUUAAAUGGCUGGACGGUUUUUGGGCCAGAGAUGAGAAGCGGAGGGGGUGGCUGCAGGGAAGAAGAGAAACGUUGUGAUUCAUGAAUUGGAGGACAUCAAACUUUUAACAGACGCCAGUGUUUCGUCCAUUGUGAAUGUAACGGUAAGCAAUAGAGAAAGAGCAGUUCAAGCUCUGUUGAAGACAAUGGCUGAAGCGAAUAAACAGCCGGAGAAAUGCUGCGGUAAGAUUUGCACGGAAAGGCACAACUUCUUGCAGAAACUAUAGAGCCCUUAAGGUGCAAAGAUCGUGCUCGGGCUUUUAUCUCCAUUCAAGCAGCUCGCUUGAAGCAGAAGAAAAACAGACUUGUAGAGAAAAUGUCAAUGAACAGAAAUAGAUCAUAGCAAUAGUGGGAUAUAAUAUCGAACGGAGGGUCUGUGCAGACCACAGACAACACAGCGAAGGGCAAGACCUUGGGAACUCGGUGAAACUUCAUGCAGCUAAAUCUAAUGAUACCGCCAUGUGGAUACUCCAAGACACUUUCUCAGAUGUGUUUUAUGAAAUCGGACUCAGUUGAAUUCCUUUCUGCCCAAGUAGCCAGAGUCUCAGAACCAUUUCCUGACCAUUACAUCACGAGCAGACAUUAUGAAGAUGCAGCCAUUUUCUUGUAAGCCUUUUCACGAAGGCUACUUUGCAGACAAAAAUGAGACCAGAGAAGAUUUGAAAGGGAAAAGAAUUAGCAAAGAAGAAACAAAAGCCAUUGAAGCGACCGGUGCGCCUACCAUCUAGUGAAGACCACCGCAGUUUUCAUCUCAUGAAACUGUACUCAUGUGCUCCAAAUUCGGCCUCAGCACUCCUCUUUAUAUGUAAAAAUGCUGCCGGCAGUAACAAUAGGUAGCUGUCGGCAGCAGUGGAAGCAACAGCCAGCUAUCGCUGCAGCUGGUGCCGUGGACUUGUUCCGGCUUUUCUGGAAUGCUGGCUAAACUUAUAGCUUGUACCGGCAUUCCAAUCCGUCGAGUGUUGGAGUCCCAACAGGGGCAACCCCAUCGGUCGGAAAUGCCGGGAACGAUUUGUCCCAGCGCUUUUUAAGCGUCGGAAAAAUUAUGUAUGAUGUUGUUCUGGUUCCACGGCUUGGGAGGAGAAGGAUAAUGUCACGAUAUGCCAGGACAGGUGGUUUCAACUUACUUAUCACAAAUUUUUCAUAAUUAGAUCCCAAUCCCUGUAGAUCCCAAAACACUUUGGCCCAAUCUGCAACUAGUUUUCCUA